GACGAACGCUGGCGGCGUGCUUAACACAUGCAAGUCGAACGAGUGGCGAACGGGUGAGUAACACGUGGGUGAUCUGCCUUGCACUUCGGGAUAAGCUUGGGAAACUGGGUCUAAUACCGGAUAGUGCAAGAUGAGCUCGCGGCCUAUAAGCUUGUUGGUGGGGUAAUGGCUACCAAGGCGCGACGGGUAGCCGGCCUGAGAGGGUGUACGGCCACAUUGGGACUGAGUGACGAACCGGACUCCUACGGUGGGCAGCAGGUGGGCAUAUUGUACGAUGGGCGGAAGCCUGAGGCAGGGACGCGGCGUGGGGGAUGACGGCAUUCGGGUUGAAAACUCCUUUAGACAAGGACUCGGUACCUGUAUAAGAAGCACCGGCUAAAUACGUACCGGCAGCCGCGGUAAUUC
rnacentral:rRNA from 1 species